UCCUUGAGGCACCCUUAGAAUGAAGAUAAAGCAGAUAAUAAAAUACUCAAGUGGCAAAUGAAGAAACAGGUUCAGAGAGAUUAAAUGACUCGUCCAAGUUGUUCAACAAAUCAAUAUAAACACUGGAACUUGAACCUAGAUCUUCUCACUCAGUGCUUUAUUUUUAUGAUUCUGCCAUGAACCUCACAAAUGGAUUUUCAUCAUCUUUCACUGCUGGUUCCAGUCAGAACAAGAAAACAAAGAACAGAGAUUUAAUUUGGUGUUAAGAAGCACAGAAGAUGUUUUGUAUGGAAUUACAGAGAUGGUCAAGGUGGCUCCCUGAGGACAGCUGGGUUUAUUCACAAAGUUGAGCCCUGUGAGCAGAAGAGGCACCCACCUGAAUCUUCAUC